rnacentral:rRNA from 1 species
GACGAACGCUGGCGGCGUGCUUAACACAUGCAAGUCGAACGGAAAGGCCCUGCUUUUGUGGGGUGCUCGAGUGGCGAACGGGUGAGUAACACGUGAGUAACCUGCCCUUGUCUUUGGGAUAACUUCAGGAAACUGGGGCUCAUACCGGAUAGGAGCUCCUGCUGCAUGGUGGGGGUUGGAAAGUUUCGGCGGUUGGGGAUGGACUCGCGGCUUAUCAGCUUGUUGGUGGGGUAGUGGCUUACCAAGGCUUUGACGGGUAGCCGGCCUGAGAGGGUGACCGGCCACAUUGGGACUGAGAUACGGCCCAGACUCCUACGGGAGGCAGCAGUGGGGAAUAUUGCACAAUGGGCGGAAGCCUGAUGCAGCAACGCCGCGUGCGGGAUGACGGCCUUCGGGUUGUAAACCGCUUUCGCCUGUGACGAAGCGUGAGUGACGGUAAUGGGUAAAGAAGCACCGGCUAACUACGUG